rnacentral:rRNA from 1 species
CCUACGGGAGGCAGCAGUGGGGAAUAUUGGACAAUGGGCGCAAGCCUGAUCCAGCCAUGCCGCGUGUGUGAAGAAGGCCUUCGGGUUGUAAAGCACUUUCAGCGAGGAGGAAGGGGUUGUUGUUAAUAGUAACAAUCUUUGACGUUACUCGCAGAAGAAGCACCGGCUAACUCCGUGCCAGCAGCCGCGGUAAUAA